rnacentral:rRNA from 1 species
UUGGACGGUCAUAGCGGCAUGGUUCCACUGGAUCUCAUUCCGAACUCCAAAGUUAAACAUGCCUGCGUUUCGACUUGUACUGCAUUCUAGCGGGAACGUCGAUUUGCUGUCCACC